UGACCUCGGAUCAGGUAGGGAUACCCGCUGAACUUAAGCAUAUCAAUAAGCGGAGGAAAAGAAACCAACAGGGAUUGCCCCAGUAACGGCGAGUGAAGCGGCAAGAGCUCAAAUUUGAAAGCUGGCUCCUUCGGGGUCCGCAUUGUAAUUUGCAGAGGAUGCUUCGGGAGCGGUCCCCAUCUAAGUGCCCUGGAACGGGACGUCAUAGAGGGUGAGAAUCCCGUAUGGGAUGGGGUGUCCGCGCCCAUGUGAAGCUCCUUCGACGAGUCGAGUUGUUUGGGAAUGCAGCUCUAAAUGGGUGGUAAAUUUCAUCUAAAGCUAAAUAUUGGCCGGAGACCGAUAGCGCACAAGUAGAGUGAUCGAAAGAUGAAAAGCACUUUGAAAAGAGAGUUAAAAAGCACGUGAAAUUGUUGAAAGGGAAGCGCUUGCGACCAGACUCGCUCGUGGGGUUCAGCCGGCAUUCGUGCCGGUGUACUUCCCCGCGAGCGGGCCAGCGUCGGUUUGGGCGGUCAGUCAAAGGCCUCUGGAAGGUAACGCCCCCUCGGGGGCGUCUUAUAGCCAGGGGUGCAAUGUGGCCUGCCCGGACCGAGGAACGCGCUUCGGCUCGGACGCUGGCAUAAUGGUCGUAAGCGACCCGUCUUGAAACACGGACC
rnacentral:rRNA from 1 species